GGAGGGCCGGUGUAGGGAGGAGUAGGGGAGGAGUAGAGGAGGAGUAGAGGAGGAGUAGUGGAGGAGGAGGGCCGGUGUGGGGAGGAGUAGGGGAGGAGGAGGAGGAGGUGGAGGAGGAGGGCCGGUGUGGGGAGGAGUAGGGGAGGAGUAGAGGAGGAGUAGAGGAGGAGGAGUAGAGGAGGAGUAGAGGAGGAGGAGGAGUAGAGGAGGAGUAGAGGAGGAGGAGGAGGAGGAUCAGGGUGGUGUGUUCAGAGGGCUGCAUCCCAGUGCUUCUGUGCUGCAGAAGAACGUAUUUAUUUUUGUUGUCAUAUCAUUUGAUCAUUAUUUCUCACAUCAACACUGUAACGGCCAGUAUGUGGAACGUUCCCUGCACCACACACACACACACACACACACACACACACACACACACACACACACACACACACACACACACACACACACACACACACACACACACACACACCUUCAUGGCUUUGUAUGGCUGCUCUAUCGAUGUCUUUAGUCUAAUGAGAGGAGGGAGCCCCCCUCGUCCUGUCUCUCCAUACCUCAUGGACCUCUCCAUACCGUCACUAACACCAGGAACUCAUGGACCUCUCACACACUGACUGUAUGUCGUACCUCCUUGCACUUAAUGUACGCACUGUGUGUUACUUAGCAUUGUGUAGCGUCUUAACCUGAUAUCUGUGCGGUCUCCGGGGAAUGGGUUAACCUAGUGAUUGUUAGGGCUUUGGUUCCAUGAACAUCCUCACUGUACCCACAGAGAUAUAUUGUUGUUUCUCUUUCUUCUGACUAAUGUACUUAUCGUAAGUUGUUUUGAACAAAAGCAUCUGCUGAAUGUCCUGAAUGUAAAUAUUGAGGUAUUGCAUUAAGGACAUUCUUUUAACUUGGCAUUAUUUCUUCCUAUAAAUUUAAUAAAUAAUUAUUCAGACCUGUGGCCUGCGUGUUGAAGAGUCAGUCAAUUUAAUAAAUGUUCUUGUGCGUGCGUGCGUGCGUGCGUGCGUGUGUGUGUUUGUGUGAUAUAGUUUGAGUAAAGGUGCGAACACACCAAGCGCGUACCUCGCGUACCAUGUACGCGCGUAACGCAGCUAAAAUGUUGCUUGACCAUU
ensembl:lncRNA